UACGUAGGGUGCGAGCGUUAAUCGGAAUUACUGGGCGUAAAGCGUGCGCAGGCGGUUUUGUAAGUCAGAUGUGAAAUCCCCGGGCUUAACCUGGGAACUGCGUUUGAAACUACAAGGCUAGAGUGUAGCAGAGGGGGGUGGAAUUCCACGUGUAGCAGUGAAAUGCGUAGAGAUGUCAUAGAACACCGAUUGCGAAGGCAGCUCACAAAGCUGUAACUGACACUGAGGCUCGAAAGUGCGGGGAUCAAACAGG
rnacentral:rRNA from 1 species